rnacentral:rRNA from 1 species
GUCCACGCCGUAAACGAUGGGUACUAGGCGUCGGGGGGAGCGACCCUCUCGGUGCCGUCGCUAACGCAGUAAGUACCCCGCCUGGGGAGUACGGUCGCAAGACUGAAACUCAAAGGAAUUGACGGGGGCCCGCACAAGCGGUGGAGCAUGUGGUUUAAUUCGAAGCAACGCGAAGAACCUUACCUGGGCUUGACAUGCACGGGAAAUCCGGUGGAAACAUCGGCCCCUCUUCGGAGUCCGUGCACAGGUGCUGCAUGGCUGUCGU